AUAAAGGCAAAAGCGCGCUUGACUGCGAGACAGACACGUCGAGCAGGUACGAAAGUAGGUCUUAGUGAUCCGGUGGUUCUGUAUGGAAGGGCCAUCGCUCAACGGAUAAAAGGUACUCCGGGGAUAACAGGCUGAUACCGCCCAAGAGUUCAUAUCGACGGCGGUGUUUGGCACCUCGAUGUCGGCUCAUCACAUCCUGGGGCUGAAGCCGGUCCCAAGGGUAUGGCUGUUCGCCAUUUAAAGUGGUACGCGAGCUGGGUUUAGAACGUCGUGAGACAGUUCGGUCCCUAUCUGCCGUGGACGUUUGAGAUUUGAGAGGGGCUGCUCCUAGUACGAGAGGACCGGAGUGGACGAACCUCUGGUGUUCCGGUUGUCACGCCAGUGGCAUUGCCGGGUAGCUAUGUUCGGAAAAGAUAACCGCUGAAAGCAUCUAAGCGGGAAACUUGCCUCAAGAUGAGAUCUCACUGGGAACUUGAUUCCCCUGAAGGGCCGUCGAAGACUACGACGUUGAUAGGCUGGGUGUGUAAGCGUUGUGAGGCGUUGAGCUAACCAGUACUAAUUGCCCGUGAGGCUUGACCAU
rnacentral:rRNA from 1 species